rnacentral:rRNA from 1 species
UACGUAGGGUGCGAGCGUUAAUCGGAAUUACUGGGCGUAAAGUGUGCGCAGGUGGCUUCGCAAGUCGAGUGUGAAAUCCCCGGGCUUAACCUGGGAAUUGCGCUCGAAACUACGGAGCUGGAGUAUGGCAGAGGGGGGUGGAAUUCCACGUGUAGCGGUGAAAUGCGUAGAGAUGUGGAGGAACACCAAUGGCGAAGGCAGCCUCCUGGGCCAAUACUGACACUCAUGCACGAAAGCGUGGGGAGCAAACAGG